UACCAGCACCCCGAGUGGUCGGGACGUUUAUUGGGCCUAAAGCAUCCGUAGCCGGUUCUACAAGUCUUCCGUUAAAUCCAACUGCUUAACAGGUGGGCUGCGGAAGAUACUAUAGAGCUAGGAGGCGGGAGAGGCAAGCGGUACUCGAUGGGUAGGGGUAAAAUCCGUUGAUCCAUUGAAGACCACCAGUGGCGAAGGCGGCUUGCCAGAAUGCGCUCGAUGGUGAGGGAUGAAAGCUGGGGGAGCAAACCGG
rnacentral:rRNA from 1 species